rnacentral:rRNA from 1 species
UUGACACUGAACACUGGUCCUUGAUGUGUAGGAUAGGUGGGAGGCUUUGAAGCGUGGACGCCAGUCUGCGUGGAGCCAUCCUUGAAAUACCACCCUUUAAUGGCUGGUGUUCUAACGUAGACCCGUGAUCCGGGUUGCGGACAGUGUCUGGUGGGGAAU